rnacentral:rRNA from 1 species
AGAGUUUGAUCCUGGCUCAGAUUGAACGCUGGCGGAAUGCUUUACACAUGCAAGUCGAACGGCAGCACGGGGGCAACCCUGGUGGCGAGUGGCGAACGGGUGAGUAAUACAUCGGAACGUGCCCAGUCGUGGGGGAUAACGUAGCGAAAGCUACGCUAAUACCGCAUACGAUCUGUGGAUGAAAGCGGGGGACCGCAAGGCCUCGCGCGAUUGGAGCGGCCGAUGGCAGAUUAGGUAGUUGGUGGGGUAAAGGCCUACCAAGCCGACGAUCUGUAGCUGGUCUGAGAGGACGACCAGCCACACUGGGACUGAGACACGGCCCAGACUCCUACGGGAGGCAGCAGUGGGGAAUUUUGGACAAUGGGCGCAAGCCUGAUCCAGCCAUUCCGCGUGCAGGAUGAAGGCCCUCGGGUUGUAAACUGCUUUUGUACGGAACGAAAAGGUGCUCUCUAAUACAGGGCGCUGAUGACGGUACCGUAAGAAUAAGCACCGGCUAACUACGUGCCAGCAGCCGCGGUAAUACGUAGGGUGCGAGCGUUAAUCGGAAUUACUGGGCGUAAAGCGUGCGCAGGCGGUUGUGUAAGACAGAUGUGAAAUCCCCGGGCUUAACCUGGGAACUGCAUUUGUGACUGCACGGCUGGAGUGCGGCAGAGGGGGAUGGAAUUCCGCGUGUAGCAGUGAAAUGCGUAGAUAUG